rnacentral:lncRNA from 1 species
GUCUCUGCAGUAAGAGAAGAACGGCACUGGGGAGGAGCAGCCGUGCAGGUCUGCCCCUGAGAGGAAGUGUGGUCAGCAUUCCCAUGGAGCCCUGACCGGACCGCUCAGGAGUGGGCAUUCAGCAAGGAUCUUUGUCUGAUAUUCUGAACCCCAGAGUCAUAUGAGAAGAAGAAAAAUGAAUGGAUGAAGGAAUAAGUCUCUUCUUCAACUCAGAUCACAUCAUCAUUCUCUACUCUGUGCUGUGGUCCAGAAGCUGACCUCUAUGGACUAUUUUAACCAGUUUCCCACCACUUUGGCGUCUGUCUGGGCUUCCUGAUGUGAAAUAGGAAGAACAUUCCUUUCUUCAUUUGACAGCUGAAGGAAAUGAAUUAUAGAAUGAAAGAAUUCAGGUGGAAAGAAAAGGAAGUUAACCAAGGAGACUGGGAUUCUGCAGAAGAGGAGUUUAUAGAAACUGAAAACGAGAUUUUAGAAAAUAGUCAAUAAAUUCCAUUUUUGGAAAAUUGAGUUAAAGUAUUAAAGAUUAUUGCAACUAAGUUACAUUCUUAUACACAUUCAGACACAUAAGAAAGAGUAUUGUUGAUUAGAAUCUUUGUGUCUCUGAUUUUCUUCUUAUGCUUUUGUCUCACAAUUAAAUAAAAGGAAGAACUGGGUUUCCCUGAUACUUACCCUCUGCUGCUUGGGAUGAGCUAAUGGUCUCCUAGGAGUUGCAAAGUCUUUACUUGAGAAAACAGUCAAAAAGGUAAUUCUUGCAGCACUAGGUGCUCUAAUGAGA